rnacentral:rRNA from 1 species
UGGGGAAUAUUGGACAAUGGGCGCAAGCCUGAUCCAGCCAUGCCGCGUGAGUGACGAAGGCCUUAGGGUUGUAAAGCUCUUUUGGCGGGGAAGAUAAUGACGGUACCCGCAGAAUAAGCUCCGGCUAACUUCGUGCCAGCAGCCGCGGUAAUACGAAGGGAGCUAGCGUUGUUCGGAAUCACUGGGCGUAAAGCGCACGUAGGUGGGCAGUUAAGUCAGGGGUGAAAGCCCGAGGCUCAACCUCGGAAUUGCCUCUGAUACUGGCUGUCUAGAGUUCGAGAGAGGUGAGUGGAAUUCCUAGUGUAGAGGUGAAAUUCGUAGAUAUUAGGAAGAACACCGGUGGCGAAGGCGGCUCACUGGCUCGAUACUGACGCUGAGGUGCGAAAGCGUGGGGAGCAAACAGGAUUAGAUACCCACGUAGUCCCUGAGCGGGCUGGCAAGGCGCAU